rnacentral:rRNA from 1 species
UACGUAGGGCGCAAGCGUUGUCCGGAAUUAUUGGGCGUAAAGAGCUCGUAGGCGGCUUGUCACGUCGGGUGUGAAAGCCCGGGGCUUAACCCCGGGUCUGCAUUCGAUACGGGCUAGCUAGAGUGUGGUAGGGGAGAUCGGAAUUCCUGGUGUAGCGGUGGAAUGCGCAGAUAUCAGGAGGAACACCGAUAGCGAAGGCAGCUCGCUGGGACGGUACUGACGCUGAGGCGCGAAAGCGUGGGGAGCGAACAGG